rnacentral:misc_RNA from 1 species
AGAGUAUGGAUCGUUGGGAAAAAAAUCUAUAAUUUAAACGUCACGCAAUGUUUGCCAAAAAAUGGGGAAACACUUAAAGGAAAUGGAUUCGCAUGAAGUAUUAGGAUCAUGUAUGCAAAUACCGUUAUACGAUUUUUUUUCCAACUUCAGGGAACAGAAAAGUUAAUAUGACGUGAUUUGACUGAAAGGAUUCCUAGAAAGGGAAUGUUUUAAAGAUAUGGUGUCAUGUGCGUCGUCUCUGUGAACGAUCUAACGGUGCUUACUGGGAAAUGAGCACAAAUAACGAGUUCAUUCUCAUUGCCAACAUGUGACUUUGGAAAAGAGUGAUAUUUCAUGUGUAGAAAGUCAUGAGCUGUUCGUAGGAUGGGUGUCUAGAGCCCUUUCUCGACCUUCUCGGAGGGAAGCAUCGAGACCACGAGAGAGGGACGCCCGCCUGAACAUUUCCUGAAAAGUGUCAAGGAGCUCGAUCUCUUGUUCGAUCUGCUGAGGACGACUAAGACUUCCUCGCCGCUCCCUUCUCCGCACACCAAGGUAGCUUUGCGCUGAACAUCUUCCGCCUCGCUAGGGAGUGUCGCUGGCCUCCCUGAUAUGAUUUGCAUCCAUCGAGGUCGCGCUGGUUAGGGUUGCGUCUGCCCAGGGACGAGUCCAGCCAUGCGAGCGCUGCUGAAGAGCUGUCCCAAAAUGGAUCACAUGAAGGGUGAUGGCGACCAGCUGUCAGCCGACGCCCAGCUGGCCGCCCUCCAGGAGCAACUCGUCGCGGUCAUGUUGGACAAUCAACACCUGACGGAGGAGGUGAAGAACAUCCGCGACUUCGGCAUGAGAGAAUCCGAGCAAUUGCGUCAGCAGCUGGAGAGGGAGAAGGAGAAGAGCCGAAUACUGAUGGAGAGAUUGCAGGAGAAGGAAACGAAAGAGAGGGAGAAGGGGGAGAGAGAAGCGAGAGAAAGAGAAAGACAUCCGAGAGAGAAGAGUUUGCCCCCUGGAGACAAAUCUCCAAGCUUACCGCAACGUAUUAGGAAACGCAUUAACCAGAUCCACAAGAGCCAGUCGUUUGAGGUAGAAGACGGCUCCCCGGGCCCUCCUCCGCCCCCCCUCCCCUUCAGCGAUAAACUGCCGCGUGUGAUUGGCGAAGAGCGGCCCAUUCCCAAGUCAGGAUAUGAGCAACCGACCAAUCUGAUUGUAAAGUACGGAGGAGAAGCAGCCAAUCCCAAGUCGAGUUCCACGUUUGAUGUUGUUGAGAGUACCUCGCGGGGAAGGUUCGCCUGGAAGCGACGCGGCCUGGAAAAGAGCAAGUCGCUGGACCAGUCGGAGUUCCUGGCGUCGCUCAACGGGGCUGCGUCGGGAGGCGAGGCCACGGACCCCGGCUGGAUCGACGAGGAUCACCGGCGGGAGAGCGACUCCGAUGAAGGCGAACGAGCCAUCCUUCUUCGCGACGGCGGGCCAGCAGGCAGCGACUCGGGCCUGCAGACUCCUACAGGACACCCAGGAGUGGCGGUUGUGGUGACGCCCCUCGACCCCUGGUGGAAGCGGCUGGAGAUGCGGCUGCUGUCGGCGGUCGGGGAGCUCAUCAAGGACUUCUCUGAGGUGGCGGAGGAGGAGCUGCCUGACGGGGACCCUGAGGGAGACCCGCUCACCGUCAAAAAGUUGAAGGAAAACAUCUUAAGGUUCGGCUGUGUGAUGCGCCCCCUCACGGAAUGCUUGGCUGUCGUGACGUCCCUUCUGCACUGGGAGUCGACCUCGGCCACGCUCCUCGCCCUCGUCGUCUACCUGUACAGCGUGCUCUUCGGCUGGGUCCUCACCCUCAUCCUCACUCUCGCCAUCAUCAGGCUUUCCAUUAAUUACCUCAAGAAAAGGUCAAUAAUAUCGGACACGUCAUGCCGCAGGGGAUGGACGCAGCACAUGUUCCGGCGGCUGCGGCGGGAGGGCGGCGAGGCGGGCGACGCAAGCGGAGGCGAGUCUGGCUUAGGUGACAAGUUCGCCCUCGUGCUGCAGGUGGCACGGAGGGUGCAGAACCAGCUGGGCGCAGUGUCCAACGCCGCUGAGAAGUGCAAGAACCUCCUCCUGUGGGAACACGAGGCCACUCGCCGCCUGUACGCCCUCUUAUGGGUGUUCCUGCUGGCUUCCAUCCUCCUGCACUCUUCUCAGAUCUUCACACUCAUCGGCGUGUAUCUCGGCAUUAAGUUCUUCGUCCUCGAUUACGUGUUUUAUCGCUAUCCGAGAAUCAGACAGAAGUACGACUCCACCUCCCGGCUGUGGGACACGCUGCCCACCGACGCUGACCUGGAGAGGCGGAACGACAAGAGACACCUCGAGAACGGAUGUUCCUCCCCAGAUUCCACAUCUUUCCUCGAGCUGUUCAACCUGCCGUCUGCCGAGUCCCCUCUCCCAGUUACCUGUGCUUUGAACGCAGCAAGAGCCAGUCCGCGAAGAACCUGAAGCUGUCUCUGAAGGACGUCCGGGUGGACAAGGCCAACAGCUACCCGUGGAUCCCCGGCGGAGGGAUGGCUAUCGACAUCACGAUGGAGAACAGCGGCAAGGGCUACUUCUUCGCCGGGAUCCUCAACCGAGACGAGGUCUUCGAAGGCAUCAUCGAAGGAUGCAGGAAGCUGGGGGCCACUUGGUGCGACGCCCUGCCCGUGCAGGACUCGAAGGCAUCCAAGGACUCCAAAGACACCAAGG